rnacentral:pre_miRNA from 1 species
UCUUCCUCCAGAUGCUGGUUUCACAUGGUGGUUUAGAUGUGUUCUACCAAAGUCUAGCACCAUUUGAAAUCAGUGUUCUUGGGGAGGG